GAGUGCAGAAGAGGAAAGUGGAAUUCCAUGUGUAGCGGUGAAAUCGUAGAGAUAUGGAGGAACACCAGUGGCGAAGGCGACUUUCUGGUCUGUAACUGACAGCUGAGGCGCGAAAGCGUGGGGAGCAAACAGGAUUAGAUACCCUGGUAGUCCACGCCGUAAACGAUGAGUGCUAAGUGUUAGAGGGUUUCCGCCCUUUAGUGCUGAAGUUAA
rnacentral:rRNA from 1 species